rnacentral:tRNA from 1 species
GUUUAAAUAGUUUAAAGAAAAUAUUAAUUUGUGGGAUUGAAGAUAUUAGUAGUAAAUUUUAAAUU